rnacentral:ncRNA from 1 species
AAAUGCGCAACGAUAAGAAAAGUAAGUCAUUGCUGCUUGUUUCAGAGAGCUCGGUCUGGUGGGAAAGAGCACAAGCAAUUGAUCGAAGAUGGUCUUUGAGCGUUUGUAUGUGAGCUUUAGGCUAGCCUACAACGGGAUGCCCGUUACAGCAAAUCAGUGAACUGAUAAGGUUGAUUUCGAUCAACGAAUAAAGGUGGUACCACGAACUUGGUUGUUUCGUCCUUUCU